CGUAUGGUGUUUGACAGCAAGACUGAUCAGAUUGCGAUACGGCCCAACGAGGU
rfam:Rheinheimera sp. SA_1 Contig_1, whole genome shotgun sequence.